GUUGAGAUGGCCGAGUUGGUCUAAGGCGCCAGAUUAAGGUUCUGGUCCGGAAGGGUGGGUUCAAAUCCCACUCUCAACA
rnacentral:tRNA from 1 species